rnacentral:rRNA from 1 species
CUCAGGAUGAACGCUGGCGGCGUGCCUAAUACAUGCAAGUCGAGCGAACUGAUUAGAAGCUUGCUUCUAUGACGUUAGCGGCGGACGGGUGAGUAACACGUGGGCAACCUGCCUGUAAGACUGGGAUAACUUCGGGAAACCGAAGCUAAUACCGGAUAGGAUCUUCUCCUUCAUGGGAGAUGAUUGAAAGAUGGUUUCGGCUAUCACUUACAGAUGGGCCCGCGGUGCAUUAGCUAGUUGGUGAGGUAACGGCUCACCAAGGCAACGAUGCAUAGCCGACCUGAGAGGGUGAUCGGCCACACUGGGACUGAGACACGGCCCAGACUCCUACGGGAGGCAGCAGUAGGGAAUCUUCCGCAAUGGACGAAAGUCUGACGGAGCAACGCCGCGUGAGUGAUGAAGGCUUUCGGGUCGUAAAACUCUGUUGUUAGGGAAGAACAAGUACAAGAGUAACUGCUUGUACCUUGACGGUACCUAACCAGAAAGCCACGGCUAACUACGUGCCAGCAGCCGCGGUAAUACGUAGGUGGCAAGCGUUAUCCGGAAUUAUUGGGCGUAAAGCGCGCGCAGGCGGUUUCUUAAGUCUGAUGUGAAAGCCCACGGCUCAACCGUGGAGGGUCAUUGGAAACUGGGGAACUUGAGUGCAGAAGAGAAAAGCGGAAUUCCACGUGUAGCGGUGAAAUGCGUAGAGAUGUGGAGGAACACCAGUGGCGAAGGCGGC